rnacentral:rRNA from 1 species
UACGUAGGGUGCAAGCGUUAAUCGGAAUUACUGGGCGUAAAGCGUGCGCAGGCGGUUAUGUAAGACAGAUGUGAAAUGCCCGGGCUUAACCUGGGAACUGCAUUUGUGACUGCAUGGCUAGAGUUUGGCAGAGGGGGGGUAGAAUUCCACGUGUAGCAGUGAAAUGCGUAGAUAUGCGGAGGAACACCGAUGGCGAAGGCAAUCCCCUGGGCCUGCACUGACGCUCAUGCACGAAAGCGUGGGGGAGCAAACAGG